ensembl:lncRNA
GUGAGUUGUAUCUCUAGACAGAGGGACAGUUAUAGUGGUGAGUUGUAUCUCCAGAGGAACAGUUAUAGUGGUGAGUUGUAUCUCUAGACAGAGGGACAGUUAUAGUGGUGAGUUGUAUCUCCAGACAGAGGAACAGUUAUAGUGGUGAGUUGUAUCUCCAGAGGAACAGUUAUAGUGGUGAGUUGUAUCUCCAGACAGAGGGUAAGUUAUAGUGGUGAGUUGUAUCUCUAGACAGAGGAACAGUUAUAGUGGUGAGCUGUAUCUCCAGAGGAACAGUUAUAGUGGUGAGUUGUAUCUCCAGACAGAGGGACAGUUAUAGUGGUGAGUUGUAUCUCCAGACAGAGGAACAGUUAUAGUGGUGAGUUGUAUCUCCAGACAGAGUAACAGUUAUAGUGGUGAGUUGUAUCUCCAGACAGAGGAACAGUUAUAGUGGUGAGUUGUAUCUCUAGACAGAGGAACAGUUAUAGUGGUGAGUUGUAUCUCCAGACAGAGGGACAGUCAUAGUGGUGAGUUGUAUCUCCAGACAGAGGAACAGUUAUAGUGGUGUCUCUGCCUGGCCGGUUCCCCUCUUUCCACUGGGAUUCUCUGCCUCUAACCCUAUUACAGGGGCUGAG